GACGAAGGAUGCAAGCGUUAUCCGGAUUCAUUGGUUUAAAGGGUGCGUAGGCGGCCCGGUAAGUCAGUGGUGAAAUCUCCUUGCUUAACAAGGAAACUGCCAUUGAUACUGUCGGGCUUGAGUACAGUUGCUGUGGGCGGAAUAUGACAUGUAGUGGUGAAAUACAUAGAGAUGUCAUAGAACACCGAUUGCGAAGGCAGCUCACAAAACUGUAACUGACGCUGAGGCACGAAAGUGCGGGGAUCAAACAGG
rnacentral:rRNA from 1 species